rnacentral:rRNA from 1 species
AUUGAACGCUGGCGGCAGGCCUAACACAUGCAAGUCGAGCGAGCGUCGGACGGGUGAGUAAUGUAUGGGGACCGGCCGCUAGAGGGGUCCUACUACUGGAAACGGUGGCUAAUACCGCAUACUUUUGGCUUACCCAUAUGGGAUUAGCUAGUAGGUAAGGUAAUGGCUUACCUUGGCGACGCUCCCUAGCUGGUCUGAGAGGAUGAUCAGCCACACUGGGACUGAGACACGGCCCAGACUCCUACGGAGGCAGCAGUGGGGAAUAUUGCACAAUGGGCGCAGGCCUGAUGCAGCCAUGCCGCGUGUAUGAAGAAGGCCAUAGGGUUGUAAAGUACUUUCAGUCGGGAGGCGUUACCGACAGAAGAAGCACCGGCUAACUCCGUGCCAGCAGCCGCGGUAAUAC